GAAAGCCCUGUUUCUUGGGAUAGCAUCAUGCAAUGAUACAGGCUUUCCUAUUUAUGAAGCUACUUUAUGAAACCCAAAGGCCAAAUCUAUUACUUGUCACCUACAGAUGAUGUUUCAUCAUGAACCAAUCUCUGAAAGGUCUCUACGAAGUUAUGCACAAUGCAAUUGAAGAGGCGUGUUAUGUCAGGCAAGAAAGAAGCUGAAGAGCUACACUGCCUUGAGGAAGAAAGCCUAUCUACUGUGAAUUACAGAAAGGAAAGAAGAUAUUCUCAGUUAAGUUCUCUCCACAUGAAAAAGUUUCAUUUGUCAGAAAUGACAGUGUCAGUAAAUAGGAUUCAACUCCACAUUUUUUGUGUCAACAGUCCUGCUUCUCAAAUCAUUUCUAAGCACAUUAUUUCAUUCCUGAAGAAAAAGCUUUUUCUUUCUU